AACGAACGCUGGCGGCAGGCCUAACACAUGCAAGUCGAACGCGUCCUUCGGGACGAGUGGCAGACGGGUGAGUAACGCGUGGGAACGUACCCUUUGGUUCGGAACAACUCCGGGAAACUGGAGCUAAUACCGGAUAAGCCCUUCGGGGGAAAGAUUUAUCGCCAGAGGAUCGGCCCGCGUUAGAUUAGCUUGUUGGUGAGGUAAUGGCUCACCAAGGCUACGAUCUAUAGCUGGUCUGAGAGGAUGAUCAGCCACACUGGGACUGAGACACGGCCCAGACUCUUACGGGAGGCAGCAGUGGGGAAUCUUGGACAAUGGGCGAAAGCCUGAUCCAGCCAUGCCGCGUGAAUGAUGAAGGCCCUAGGGUUGUAAAAUUCUUUCGACGGGGAAGAUAAUGACGGUACCCGUAGAAGAAGCUCCGGCUAACUUCGUG
rnacentral:rRNA from 2 species